rnacentral:rRNA from 1 species
UACGGGGGGAGCAAGCGUUGUUCGGAUUUACUGGGCGUAAAGGGUGCGCAGGCGGUCUCGUAAGCUGGGUGUGAAAGCCCCGGGCUUAACCUGGGAAUGGCAUUCAGGACUGCGAGGCUUUGAGUGUGGCAGAGGGAGGUGGAAUUCCACGUGUAGCAGUGAAAUGCGUAGAGAUGUGGAGGAACACCGACGGCGAAGGCAGCCUCCUGGGCCAGCACUGACGCUCAUGCACGAAAGCGUGGGGAGCAAACAGG